rnacentral:rRNA from 1 species
UAGAGUUUGAUCCUGGCUGAGAUUGAACGCUGGCGGCAUGCCUUACACAUGCAAGUCGAACGGCAGCACGGAGCUUGCUCUGGUGGCGAGUGGCGAACGGGUGAGUAAUAUAUCGGAACGUACCCUAGAGUGGGGGAUAACGUAGCGAAAGUUACGCUAAUACCGCAUACGAUCUAAGGAUGAAAGUGGGGGAUCGCAAGACCUCAUGCUCGUGGAGCGGCCGAUAUCUGAUUAGCUAGUUGGUAGGGUAAAAGCCUACCAAGGCAUCGAUCAGUAGCUGGUCUGAGAGGACGACCAGCCACACUGGAACUGAGACACGGUCCAGACUCCUACGGGAGGCAGCAGUGGGGAAUUUUGGACAAUGGGCGAAAGCCUGAUCCAGCAAUGCCGCGUGAGUGAAGAAGGCCUUCGGGUUGUAAAGCUCUUUUGUCAGGGAAGAAACGGUGAGAGCUAAUAUCUCUUGCUAAUGACGGUACCUGAAGAAUAAGCACCGGCUAACUACGUGCCAGCAGCCGCGGUAAUACGUAGGGUGCAAGCGUUAAUCGGAAUUACUGGGCGUAAAGCGUGCGCAGGCGGUUUUGUAAGUCUGAUGUGAAAUCCCCGGGCUCAACCUGGGAAUUGCAUUGGAGACUGCAAGGCUAGAAUCUGGCAGAGGGGGGUAGAAUUCCACGUGUAGCAGUGAAAUGCGUAGAUAUGUGGAGGAACACCGAUGGCGAAGGCAGCCCCCUGGGUCAAGAUUGACGAUCAUGCACGAAAGCGUGGGGAGCAAACAGGAUUAGAUACCCUGGUAGUCCACGCCCUAAACGAUGUCUACUAGUUGUCGGGUCUUAAUUGACUUGGUAACGCAGCUAACGCGUGAAGUAGACCGCCUGGGGAGUACGGUCGCAAGAUUAAAACUCAAAGGAAUUGACGGGGACCCGCACAAGCGGUGGAUGAUGUGGAUUAAUUCGAUGCAACGCGAAAAACCUUACCUACCCUUGACGUGGCUGGAAUCCUUGAGAGAUCAGGGAGUGCUCGAAAGAGAACCAGUACACAGGUGCUGCAUGGCUGUCGUCAGCUCGUGUCGUGAGAUGUUGGGUUAAGUCCCGCAACGAGCGCAACCCUUGUCAUUAGUUGCUACGAAAGGGCACUCUAAUGAGACUGCCGGUGACAAACCGGAGGAAGGUGGGGAUGACGUCAAGUCCUCAUGGCCCUUAUGGGUAGGGCUUCACACGUCAUACAAUGGUACAUACAGAGCGCCGCCAACCCGCGAGGGGGAGCUAAUCGCAGAAAGUGUAUCGUAGUCCGGAU